AUUCCAGCUCCAAUAGCGUAUAUUAAAGUUGUUGCAGUUAAAAAGCUCGUAGUUGGAUUUCUGGUGGAAGUGACCGGUCUGUCCCUAGUGGAUGUGAACUUGUGUCUACUUUUGCCAUCCUUGGGGAGAGCGUGCCUGGCAUUAGGUUGUCGGGUUCGGGAUCCCCAUCCUUUACUGUGAAAAAAUUAGAGUGUUUAAAGCAGGCUUAUGCCAUUGAAUACAUUAGCAUGGAAUAAUAAGAUAGGACUUUGGUGGUCUAUUUUGUUGGUUUGCACACCAAGGUAAUGAUUAAUAGGGAUAGUUGGGGGUAUCCGUAUUUCGUAGUCAGAGGUGAAAUUCUUGGAUUUACGAAAGACGAACUACUGCGAAAGCAUUUACCAAGGAUGUUUUCAUUG
rnacentral:rRNA from 1 species